rnacentral:rRNA from 1 species
UACAGAGGGGGCGAGCGUUGUUCGGAAUUACUGGGCGUAAAGGGCGCGUAGGCGGCCUUCUAAGUCGAACGUGAAAUCCCCGGGCUCAACCCGGGAACUGCGUCCGAUACUGGGAGGCUUGAAUCCGGGAGAGGGAUGUGGAAUUCCAGGUGUAGCGGUGAAAUGCGUAGAUAUCUGGAGGAACACCGGUGGCGAAGGCGGCUCUCUGGGCCUUUCCUGACGCUGAGACGCGAAAGCGUGGGGAGCGAACCGG